rnacentral:tRNA from 1 species
GGAUGGGUAGACCACUAAGGAGGUGGGCCGGACUGUAAAUCCGGCGCGUUUGCUCGCCAGGAUCGUCACCUGGGCCAUCCACCA